UUAUGGUCUGCUUUUUAGAGGUGUACGUACAUACAUGAAAUGAUUGGAUUGUUCAUCGUCUCUCGUUGACUCUUUGUUAUUAUGCAACAAAAUUGUAGUAGUUCUGGCGAUAUAUGUAUAAUUGCCCUUAGGAAAGGAGUGAAUUAUCAGGUAGUAGUGUUAUUAUUAUACGUAUUGUUGCAUCUUAAUUGGAUUUCUUAUUAGUGCAAUUCUUGAGGUAAUGGACAAUUUCGUGUAAUAUGCAAUUAUCUACAAUUAAGGUAGGAAAACAUUGAAAAAUCGAACACUAUCUUGGAAAAUUACUGCCUUUUUACAGGUAUAAUCUGCCAUUUGUGGUGUGAUGAAUACCUAAUCAAGGUGGGCCAAAUUUACGUAUAUUCAUAAUAAUUAUGGAUAUAGUAGUACGUCGCCCAGCUUGACAGUAGUAAGAUUCACGCAUUGAUCUCUUUAAGCUAUUCAACAUACUUGAAUAGUAAAGAAAUCAGCGAGACCAAUUUGUUAACAAAGUUUUAGUGUGAAAAAAUUUAAUAAAAUUUUAGCAUCCUAAUCAAAAAUCAACUUAUUGAAUGCCGAGAACAUAAAAAUGAAUGAUUACACACGCCUUCAUCAUUUAACAAUGCUGCCAAUUGUUUCGCAUGCCAUUUAUCCAUUAGGAAAUCCUAUGGACAUGAUGAUACACCGUGUGGGAAGAUGUUUUCUUUUAUGUACGACAAAUUGUUAGCGUUGUUAUUUGUUCACAUAAUUUGACUAAUGGCCAGAAUUUGUAAUCGGAUGGACAUUUAAAAUUUGAAUAAUAAAACCAUCAAUCAAUCA